rnacentral:tRNA from 1 species
GCCCGCCGCGGGCUGGGGCCUAGCGCUGUCGCUGGCGGCGCUGGCCGGGCUGCGGCGCAGACGCCGGCGGUUCUGACCGCCGGCAGAUGCC